CGGCGAGUGAAGCGGCAACAGCUCAAAUUUGAAAUCUGGCCCUUGGGUCCGAAUUGUAAUUUGUAGAGGAUGAUUUUGGUGCGGUAUCUUCCGAGUUCCUUGGAACAGGACGCCUUAGAGGGUGAGAGCCCCGUACGGUUGAAUGCCCAGCCUCUGUAAAUCUCCUUCGACGAGUCGAGUAGUUUGGGAAUGCUGCUCUAAAUGGGAGGUAAAUUUCUUCUAAAGCUAAAUACUGGCCAGAGACCGAUAGCGCACAAGUAGAGUGAUCGAAAGAUGAAAAGCACUUUGAAAAGAGGGUUAAAUAGCACGUGAAAUUGUUGAAAGGGAAGGAUUUAUGACCAGACUUUUUCUGGGCGGAUCAUCCGGUGUUCUCACCGGUGCACUUUGCCCAGUUUAGGCCAGCAUCGAUUUUCGGAGAGGGAUAAAAGCUUUGGGAAUGUGACUCCUCCGGGAGUGUUAUAGCCCAUUGUAUAAUACCUUUCUGGGGAUCGAGGUACGCGCUUCUGCAAGGAUGCUGGCGUAAUGGUUAUCAAUCACCCGUCUUGAAACACGGACCAAGGAGUCGAACAUUUGUGCAAGUGUUUGGGUGUUAAACCCUCACGCGUAAUGAAAGUGAACGGAGGUGAGAGCCCUUACGGGUGCAUCAUCGACCGAUCCUGAAGUUUUCGGAUGGAUUUGAGUAAGAGCAUAACUGUUCGGACCCGAAAGAUGGUGAACUAUGCGUGGAUAGGGUGAAGCCAGAGGAAACUCUGGUGGAGGCUCGCAGCGGUUCUGACGUGCAAAUCGAUCGUCAAAUCUGCGCAUGGGGGCGAAAGACUAAUCGAACCAU
rnacentral:rRNA from 1 species